rnacentral:rRNA from 1 species
ACGGCGCACGGGUGCGUAACACGUGGGCAAUCUGCCCUUCGAUGGGGAAUAACUCCGGGAAACCGAAGCUAAUUCCGCAUAACAUUCCUUGGACUUCGGUUCGAGGACUCAAAGCCGUAAGGCGUCGAAGGAGGAGCCCGCGCACGAUUAGCUAGUUGGUAGGGUAACGGCCUACCAAGGCUUUGAUCGUUAGCUGGUCUGAGAGGAUGGCCAGCCACACUGGAACUGAGACACGGUCCAGACUCCUACGGGAGGCAGCAGUGGGGAAUCUUGCACAAUGGGCGAAAGCCUGAUGCAGCGACGCCGCGUGGGGGAUGAAGCAUUUCGGUGUGUAAACCCCUUUCGACCCGGACGAAUGCCUCGCAAGAGGAGUGACGGUACGGGUAUAAGAAGCCCCGGCUAACUACGUGCCAGCAGCCGCGGUAAGACGUAGGGGGCCAGCGUUGUUCGGAAUUACUGGGUGUAAAGGGUUCGUAGGCGGUGUGGCAAGUUGGGAGUGAAAUCUCUGGGCUCAACCCAGAGGCUGCUUCCAAAACUGCUGUGCUUGAGUGUGGGAGAGGCGCGUGGAAUUGCAGGUGUAGCGGUGAAAUGCGUAGAUAUCUGCAGGAACACCCGUAGCGAAAGCGGCGCGCUGGACCACAACUGACGCUGAGGAACGAAAGCUAGGGGAGCAAACAGGAUUAGAUACCCUGGUAGUCCUAGCCCUAAACGAUCAGGACUUGGGGUGCCGCACGUUCGUGCGUCGUCCCGGAGCUAACGCGUUAAGUCCUGCACCUGGGGAGUACGGUCGCAAGACUGAAACUCAAAGGAAUUGACGGGGGCCCGCACAAGCGGUGGAACAUGUGGUUCAAUUCGACGCUACGCGAGGAACCUUACCUGGGCUCGAAGCGCACCUGACUAGCUGUAGAAAUACGGCCUUCCCGCAAGGGACAGGUGUGGAGGCGCUGCAUGGCUGUCGUCAGCUCGUGCCGUGAGGUGUUGGGUUAAGUCCCGCAACGAGCGCAACCCCUGCACGUAGUUGCCACUCCGCAAGGAGGGAACU